AUGAACCAGAUUAUUGAUCGGUAUAACUCUCAUUCCAAGAUACUUAAGAAAGCAGAUGAGCCAUCUCAGCUGGACUUGCAUGAGGACAGCAAUUGUGCAAGACUAAGGGACGAGCUUGCAGAAGCAAGCCUCUGGCUCCAGCAGAUGAGAGGAGAGGAGCUCCAGAGCCUGAACGUCCAGCAGCUUCAGGCUCUAGAGAAGAGCCUCGAGUCCGGGCUCGGCUCUGUUCUGAAAACCAAGAGCCAAAAGAUCAUGGACCAGAUCAGCGAGCUAGAAAGAAAGAGGGUGCAGCUGAUAGAGGAAAACGCAAGGCUAAAGGAGCAAGCGUCCAAGAUGGAGAUGCAAGUCGCCGCUGAUUCACCGGUGGUGUACGAGGAAGGACAGUCGUCUGAGUCCGUCACCAACACGUCGUAUCCGCGCCCUCCCCUCGACACCGAGGACAGCUCCGAUACCUCUCUCAGGCUCGGAUUACCACUCUACAACUCGAAGUGA
rnacentral:rRNA from 1 species